rnacentral:lncRNA from 1 species
UAGAGUGCCAGUUGUUUAAUUAUGGAUGCGGUUGAACUCGUGAAAGAAUUGAAAUGUCAUGCCAACGUGUGGGGUAUUUUGUCUCCUCAUUGACCCCCAGAACAAUUACCCUAUGGGGAAUAGUGGCGUGUCUUCAGGAGAAUCCCCUGAAAACAAAAACAUAAUGUCGUCUGAGUUUUAUAAAUAUUUCUUCAAUUUGGCAAAUUACUUAUUCUUCUGUUGUCACCUAAUAAUUAAAUGCACCGUAAGUUCACUGCGCGCCUACAGUACUGCCUGGGUUUCUUCUGGGUCGCUGAACAAUUGUGGACUUUGACACGACCUAAAAAAAAAAAGACUUGGAUCUUCUUGAACACGGUCUGAGGGGUGGUAUAUGACAGCACUAUGAGAAGACACAAGGAGCUGACGAAAGACCUUUCAUCCCAGUCAGCCCCCGGGUGUUUCUGUUGGUGUUUUUUUAGACAUUUGGAUACAUGGAACCCCAUUCCACACAGCAUACAGACAUGUGGCUUUUCCUGUGUAUGGAUCUUCCUUACGUACACCUUAAGACCCAAUGAGGUGGUGAACCUAUUAUUUCAGACUGUACAAGAGUACUGUCUCUAUUUAGUGGGGGUGAUCUGGUGCACUCACCUUUCCUGACUGG